GCUGCCACUAGGGAAGAAGCAACAGGACGUAACAGAGCGCAAUGAUCACAAAAGACCUCACAAGUACGUACCGAGGAAUAUUAGUGAUUGAGAGCAAAGCCGGAAAAACGAAGCUGCUUUUAGAACUUGGUAACCCAGCACUAGAGCAGCCGCGUCCAGCAAGGAGUCGUCAUUUUGUUACCCGGGGUGUAUUUCCAGCUGAACUCCCACCAGCAGCCCCGUUCCACAGCAGUGCUGAAUUGCUUCCCCUGCCAGGAAGGCCUCCGCAGUGCUCACCUGUGUCGGGAUCAGCGCCAGGAGAUAAGAGCUCAGGCUGGGUUCAUGAGCGCGCCUGCCUGCAGCUGGAACUUCUCCAGAGCACAGUGCUCUUCUUUAGACCCUACUGACACAGCAGUUCAGACCAGGCCAGCUUCAGUGCUCAGAGACACACCCUAAAUCUAUGUGGAUUUCAACUGAAGCUGCUUUUUCUCUGAUGCAACGUUGUUGGCCAUGCAAGUCACACCUACAGUGGUAUUUCCAACAUUUCUAAGGUGUGUUUCCAGAAGCCACACAAAGCUGGUGGAGUUCCCUGGAGCUUAGUGAAGACGCAGCAAGGGUUUGGCAACCCGGUGCAGCAGGCAGCAGCCAGAAGCCAGACUGAGCCACCCCGAUAGCAGCACUAAGUCGAAGAACUUCAGGAAGAAUGCAGCUGACGUGCUGAAGACCAGAACUUGAAUUCAGCUUUCGUCCAUAAGCACUGUGUUCAGAGCUCUACUGAAAUAAAUGGACUACAGUGCACUGACUGAAGCUAAAGGAGGAGGCAGAGCCCUUCUAAUUCUUGCUAUAUUUGCAUCAGGUAGAGAGGCUUGAGAUGAAAUGAUGACUAGAGGAAGAAUGCCCUCUGCUUCUGCCUUUCUGGUAAACCUUUGUAAGAGGAAGUACUACUUGUUCUUGACUCUCAUUCCUGCGGGCUCUCCCAUGAAAGCAAAAGGGUUCAAAGAAGGUGCUGUCCUUGUGACUGGAACACCAGAAGGGGAAAAAUCCUGAAUCCUUUUCCUGCCUUGCAUUUAUCUCCUGAUGACCAUUAUUGGAGAAAGCCAUCAAGGACAGGGAUGUGUUAUACUAUGGAAAAGUACAGAUAAUCCCAUGGCAACAACUGUCAGGUAAAAGCCCAGCCUAAAUCUCACUGGGGAUGCAUGCAUGAACUGCAGGGUGAGCUGGUUUACAGGAGGCUCAGCUUCGGCAGGUUACAUUGUAGAGAAGACUCAGAUGUUUCAGAAGAAUGCAAAAGAUGUCCAGGGUGACAGCCCCAUUUCAAAUGCCAGCUUCCACCGUGUGGAAGGGAGAGAAGUGAAUUCAGGUGAAGUAAAACUUACGCUCUGAAAUCUUCAUUCUUACUUUUACCUCCAACUUUUACCUUUCCAGCCUCUCAUUUCCAGCUGUGGCUAAUCUUGGCUCGGCUUUGAAAUAGUAUUUGUUUAUUGUAUCUAUGUAUAUAAGCAUUCUUCAGUAUUCUCCAGCAGAUGAAGUUGGUCAUGAUCCUGAUUUUUCAUAAGUAGUUCAAAGACUCCCACAAUCCUAGAGGAAAGGCAGGGCCUCUUGGUAUACAUAUCUUAUGAAAAAGGGAAAGCAAAUAUGCUGUCUAAAAAUGUGAGUUUUAAAAGAUCAUGUCACAUAACAGUACAGGACAGUAGUACGUUGUGGUUACCAGUGAACAUUAAAUCUUCUCUCCUUACAUACUGAAAACUAAGGUGACAUGUUAGACCACUUCUAAAUUUAUUGAAAUUUUGGGUUUGAUUUGUCCAAAAUCCCUUUCAAAAAAGUUUUUAAAAAACAACGAAACUUCUAAAGGGAAUUUGUCAAACUAAAAUAUUUCUGAGUUUUACUGCAUUUGGUGAGAAGUAUAUAGAAAAGAUGCAAAAUCACUGAGGGAAAUAAUGGUACUUAUCUAAAGCGUUUCAUCUCUGUAACUGGUCUGCACUGGUGUUCAUGAACCUAUAUCAGUGUCAUUAUGAUCCUUGAAAUGAGCUAGGUGUUUUCUUCUGUUCAUAACAGGUAUUUCUUUUAUUUCUUGAGGUAUAUUCUCUUAGUAGAAUUCCCCAUCACAACUGAUAUUAGUAACACCUUCAUCAGCCACCAGUGGGAAAUUCAUUAAAUCCUUCAGUCCUUCAUACAAAUUAUGUUGGUUUCAGACAGGAGAACAACACUGAUGCUGUAAAUUUCCAGGACCCAGCUGUCAGAGUGUGUAGAAAGCUAUGAUUUAGAAUUUCCUCUCCAGGGUUUCCCAGCAGAGAGCCUAAAUGCAGAAUGUGGGUUAGGGAACCCGCAUUCUCCCUGGGGAGAUAAAACAAACAUGCCCAGCAGCCAGAAAAGAAUCUGUUCUCAUCAUAUUUCCAGCUUGCUUUCAAACCAGUUGAGAUUUCCAUACUGUGAAACUUGGAUUCAGAUGAAAAUGACUUUGUGCUACUCUGACCCUAAUUUUACUUCCAAGCUGUAGAGUUUUGUCCACCUCAGGGAAUAAUGCAAAAUGGAUUCAGGAUGAGUGUGGAAGAGUAUUUGUGCAACACCAUUGCCUUCAUGGGUAGAGAUUCUUGGUUUACUCAGUUAGCAAGUCAUUCACAGCCUUCAUUGGAAUUUCUGCCUCUUAGAGCAAAGAUAAAUAAAUGAGAAAAAAAAAUGUCUUUCCCAGAGACAAAAGUUGCAUAGUCGUGAGUUGACUUGACAGUGAAAUAGUGCUGACCUGACAGCACCAUCAGGGCCUGAUGGACUAAAGCUUAAAUUCCCCAAGUUACCAGGUCAUCCCAGCUUUCCCUUCCCAACUACUGUAAAGAGAUAACUAUUCUCUUGACUCCAUAUACCAGCCUGGUGGAUGUGCCCUUCAUGUGUGCAUAGCAGAUCACAAGGCAGACCAGCACAUAUUUUCAUCACUGUCUUCAGCUUAGAUCAUAUGUGACUGCAUUUACCUUGUCUUCUAUUGCUAUCUCAAUACUUUAUAGAGAAUAUUGGAGAAUGGUCUUACAUCCUUGCUAUAGAGUGUAGAGAGGUCUUUUCCAAGUAAGCAUGAUAACUGCAUUCUCAAGGCGUAAUACAAUGUACUGCCAGCACUGUCAGUAUAGAGGAAGUAGCUGUAGUGUUCCCACUGCUGUGAUGGUGGAUGGAAAUGAGAGAGUACUCUUACUUUUCUGUAUCUUCUACCUACAUUACACAAAUGAACUAAUUCCAGCAACUUCUUUUAGUAAACUUAGAGAAAAUACAGACUUAAAUUCGUUCAUGGUUAGGAUUUAAGUUUAUUCUCUUCCCUAGACUUAUGAACUAGCUAGGACUGAACUCACUGUUUACUUUCCCCUCAACUUGCAGAUCUGGAAGUAGAAAAGAAACAGACCUGGUUCAGUGUAAUCUGUAAUAUUGCUUCCUUCCAUUUUCUCUCUUUUCCCUUGAAAUCUAGCUCCCCAAGGCCUACAAAUCUGGGACAAAUUGGCUGAUGAUAUUUUCCAAUUGUUUGUUGAUGGAAAAGGGUGUAAACUGAUCCAUGUAACUGGAAAAGUUUUAAAAUAUCUCUCCUAUGACAUACAAAGCUCUGCUUUGUCUUCACAAAAUUAGAUUGCUCUCAUAAAGGCUUAACAAUACAGAGAAAUGUUGAAAAAUGUGUAUUUUAUUAAUAUCAUAGCAUAGUACUGUAAGGUCAUAGUAGCUGAGAAUUGCUUGAAUUUACUCCAGAUGUUGCUUAAAUAAUCCCUGAUUUUUAGCAGAUGUUUGAAAAUAAGAUAUAAAGCAUGACGACUAAGAACUUUUGUAAAUGUAACUCCAUGUUGCAAACUUCUCAUCAAGGUGCUAGGGCUCACUAAAGUUAUUUGGCGCAGCAGAAGAAAGUUUGUCCCCCUACUAAGGGAAGUGAGCUCAUCUGUAAUACCAGCUGCCAGAAAAUGCCACAUGGGAGAUAGACUACAGCAAUCUCGAAAAUCACUCUGAUCAGACACUGUACUUUAAGAAGGAAAUAAAUUGCAUUGUAUACAGAGCUGUAAGUAACUGACCUUCAUGACCUUCAAUGCCAACUGAUCUCUAAUUUAAAUGAACUGUGCUGCACACGUCAUUGUUGAAAUAUUAUUUUGAUAAAAACAGAGCAAAAAGAGAUGGUUUAAAUUUAAGUUUGUAACAGGAGAGUUGUAUAGGUUGCUAGAAAUCCAGAACUCUUUGUAUUUCUUUUACUCUUUUUUUUCUUUCAAUUGCAUGAAACCUGUAGAGCGCCUUGCACCUGGCACUCCUGGGAUUAACACUAUUAUUAUUUUCCAAGUUUAAAAUCUUCGCUUGUGGUUCCGACAAACAUCUUCUCCUCAUGCUGUACCCCUAAGUCCUCAUUAAGAUUUGCAACAACUGAAUUAAAAAUAGGAUUGUCUUUGUAGUGAGGAAAACCGUUUGCAAAUGGCAUUUUAGUUUUCUUUCUAAAUUAUUACUUUAAAAUUCUCAUUUUUGGAGCUGUUGACAGGAGACAAAGUUUCAAGCUAUUUGCUGCUUGAGAAGUUCAAGGAGGUUAAGUUCUACAUGGUGAUGACUUUCCCCACAAAUCUCAUUCCCAUGUUUUGCAUUUUUCAGACUCUUCUCACUGUGUGGUCAACGGAGCUGGAAGACAUGUUCUAGGUGAAUGUGUCCUUACAUCUAAAUGUCUGUCUGAGUUUAUAUUCAACUCCCUACUAAAUCAGUCUGAUGUACACCUUGUGCUGAAUCAACAUGUUUCCCCCCCACCAGAUGUCCUGCACUCUUCUCCUGGAGCUUAUUUUCUCUGCUUCCCAGUUGCCACACAGCCCGAGUGUUUGUGCCUGGGUUGUUCCUCUGCACAAAAUGAAGAUGGCUUCACUUAGAGCUGAGAGGCAUUACAGUGUCCUAAUUUAAACCAUCCUAGCUAUAUUUGUCAGAGGAUGGUGGCCACUCUUGUGAAACAGAGAUAAUUUCUCUUCCUCAGUUUCCUGUAGUCUGGGCUACACUUGGAUGAGGCAAGCCGGAACCUGAAGCUUUCUGUUUGCUGACCGAAUGGGUAAGAAGUCAGAUGCAAUGCGAACUUCACAAAGGUCCCUCAAAAACAAAGGUAGAUCGUGAUUCAGAAAUGUGUUUAGGUCUGUCCUCUGCUUUGGACACUUGACUGAUUCAAGUUUAAUUCUGAAACGUUCCUGUGUGCUUAAAGCCAGGCAUAAUCUUGUGUGAUGGAAUCAGGGGUGUGGCUGUUUGUCCUGCUUUCAGCUGGGAGAGUUAAUUUUCUUUCUUGAGGCUGGUAUGGUGUUGUGUUUUGGAUUUAGGAUGAGAAUAAUGUUGAUAUCACAUCAAAGUUUUGGCUGUUGCAGAGCAGUGCUGCACAGAUCCAAGGAUUUCAGUUUCUCUUGCUGCCCUGCCAAGUGAGGACCUGGGGGUGCACAAGGAGCUGCGACGGGACAGAACCUGGACAGCUGACUCAGACUGAACAAAGGGAGAUCCCAUACCUUAUAAUGUCAUUGAACAGUAAAACAGGGGGAGUUGGCCACGGAGGUUGCCGUUGCUUGGGGACUGGCUGGGCAUCAGUUGAUGGGAGGUGAGCAAUUGCACUGUGCAUCACUUGUUCUGUAUAUUCUCCUUGUUAUUAUCUUUUUUCCUUUCCUAUUUUUUCUUAUUAAACUGUCCUUAUCUCAACCCACAAGUUCUCACACUUUCACCUUUCUGAUACUCUCCCCCAUCCCACUAGGAGAGGUGGUGCUGAGCUGCCUGCUGGGUUAAACUGCAGCAGUCCUUUUGGCACCAACUGUGGGGUGCGAAAGAUUGAGAUAACAGCAGAUAUGACGAGAGUGUGUUAAAACGAAUUUGUUAUAAGCGUUAUAUCUUACACCCUUUCUUGUUGUUUGUCAUCUCCAGGGACUGUCCUAAGCUUGUUUAUGGUUUUGCCAAUUUGCAUGUAGUAUGUGCUCAUGUUAGACUGACCAAGAACUUAAUCUGUUAUUUUCACUCACAAUGGCCAUUGUUAUCACACUUCGGGAACCUUACAGUGAAAACUAUUAAAAAGUACAGUCUUUACUCCAGGCAGGUUAAAAUAGUUUUCAAAAAUUUUGAAUACUCUUGGGAUAUUCAAACUAGUGUGGACCUGUUGCUAUGUCUCCUGCAUGUGCUUCCAUUUUUAUCUAUGGUUAAACAACCAUUUAAGAAUGCUAUCCAGAGAUCUUCACUGAAGCAAGAUGGUUGUGGGAGAAUAUAGUCCCGUCUCUAUCAGAGUUGUCAUCUUUGAUGGUUUUGGAAUUCAACUCUCAACAAGUAGAGAAUUCUAAAAAAAAAACCACACAAAGAGAUUAUUUAAAAAAGGUAUGCCCUGAUUCUGGCAAUGACAGUGACUUACCACUCACUGCACUGUGCUGGAGUCUGGUCUGUACCUAUCAAACAUUAUUCAACACUAUUCAGCACCUCCAAAAGGAAGAAAACGCCCCUGCAUCUGACCCAACCUCUGCAACAGGCCCUGUUGCUGAACCAGAGAACCAACUCAUGUUGACACCGGGCAUCUCUAUAUUCAAGAAGAAACGAGAAGUGGAAGAUAAUUUGUUUAGGAAGACAAGGAACUACUAGAAGGGGGAAGGAGGAAAAAGUGGACAAGACAGGCUGUGUUGAAGAAAGGCCAUAUAAGAAUGGAAGGAAGAAGCAGUAAAUGAGGCGGUAUUCACCCAAUCCCUAUCUCUUUGUGAGCUGCAGCAUAUGCAAAAAGAUUCAGCCAUCAUCCAGGUGAGCACAUUGUCACCUGGCUGCUCUGAUGGUUGGAUAAUGGAGCUGAUAGCCUGGAGUUAGACGGCAUGGAAGUGAGGGAUCUAGGAUCCCUCUCUAGGAAAGCAAGCAUUGACAAAGCAAUUAGAAAAGGAGGGACAACCCCUCCGACUCUUGAGGUGACUCUUGUGUCAGCCAUGAAGAAAAGAUAUCUCUUCACAGAAGACAUUGUAUGUCAGCCAGACCAUGACGGAGAAAGAUAUCCAUUAUCUGAGGGAAUUAGCCACUCUGGAUGUGAUGUAUGAUAACCUGGGCAGAGAACAAGAUCCAGAUAGCGUUGAGAGCAUAUAUGUAUAGAGGACACUGUCAUUGUAUGCCAUCACACUGUCUAUAAUGACCUGGAAAAAGAGAGGGGAAGUGACAGGGGAUGAAUUGGUGAUCCAACUCCAUCAGUACGAAGAAAGUCUCUCUUCCUUCUUAUGGGCCUGCAUCUUGACUGCUGAGAAACUGGCUCAGUAACUCAAAGAGAGAGAAUGUCUUUUCUCCCAUCUGUACAGAGCAGAAUCUCAGCUACUAGGAGUAAGUGUUCUUCUCAGAAGAGCUGCAACCAGAUGAUGUGAACACUGGCUCAUAUCUGCUAUUGAUUUGUGAAUGACUCUGGGCAAAUCAGUCAAUGUUUAUGGCUUUCUUUAUCAUCUGAGACUCUUCUAGUCAACUGUGAAUUUCCUUGAGCUCCUUGGAUGAAAGUCUAGGUAAGAACAAAACAAAAUACUGUAUUGUGACAUAAUGUGAAAGGAAAAUAUUCCUCCUGCUUAACUUUUUGUGAUAUGCUCAAUAUUACACCUUUUUCUUUUCAAAAUUUGGAUUUUAUUAAAGUCAGUGAGAUCUCAAAGUUCCUUUUGUAAUUCUGUUUUUGAAAUGUCUUUUAGUAACAAAAAUAACAUUCUGCUUCUGCUAUAAAAGGAUUGGUUUCAAACUCUGUUUAAGCGAAUGCUGUGAUGUACUAUGUCAUACAGUCAGGUGAUGGCUGUUUUUCAUCACUGAAGAUGCUGUAUAACCACAAAUGCUGCUCGUGGUUGUAACAUCAUGAUACAAAGGAUGAACAAGAGUCCUCUUUCUCUUGAUCUAAAACACAUGACAUUGUGUGAUACAGAUGUCCAGCUCAACUUCUUGCAUGACACUUUUGAACCUGUUUCCACAAGCAUGUAUUUAUUGGCAGCAUUGAUUUCGACCUCUGGUUGUACCUCCAAAUCAUUUUGAGACAAAAGCAGUGAGUGAAAAUGUUAACUUUUCACUUGAACUUAGACCGUAUUCUGUUUUACAUCUAAUGACAGGGUUAAAUAUACUUCAUAGGGUUACUGAGCUCAGUAUGACAAAAUGACAUUUGAGAUAAAACUGAAUACAGAUAAAAUCACGAGAAGCAUCUAAUUUGUAUUGUCUGCUUUAUGAAAGAGCAACUUCUUUUGAUUUUUUCUCUUUUCUUCCUCUGUAGAAUAAUAUUUUUCACACAUUUCCAGAAAUAUGGAAUGUAAUCCAAAUGGCUGUCUUGCUCACUACUUAUAUAUAUAUAUAUCUGUCUUAUGUACAUGAGUGGAGUCUACCUGGGGACUAAUUUUGACAUUAUCACGUUCCUGAAGAAGAGUGGCUAUUGGGAGACACAGAAGUUUCAGAUACCAAGCAGUGGGCAUUGCAUGCUAAUGGCCCUAGUACCAUACUGUGUACUAGUAUGUAUUAUUACUUGCCUCUGUGGUAUAUAUGUUUUUGUUUAGUCCCUUAGUCUUCCUCUUCUUUGACAUGUUGUGCCUUCCAGCCCCUUUGUCCUUGAGUUUCUCCAUCCCUCUGUCAGUCUUCCUGGCUGUCAGACCACCCUACUGUAGCUUUGGCCACCCCUCUAACCUUCAAUUUCUGUCCUGAAGUACAUGAAUGCUGGAAGGCCAUUAUCAUCUCCAGCGUACUGCUAAUAAAAACAAAACAAUCCUGCUGCCUUCUUUGGACAUCUCUGCCUGCAGGAAAAUGUGACUCCUAUGCCACAAGGCUGGUCAGGUGCCUGUAGUUUGGUGGUUAUUUAAGUGUGGUUAGAAGACAAACUCCUUGAGGCACAGCCUAACCCUAGGCUAUAAUUUAUAUUAGCCUGAGUGUGCUGUCAGCACAAAGCUCGUAGUAGCGUGCAUAAUCCUAGCCCAAAAAAUUAAGAACUGCUAUGCUGUUAAACUCUUUCCAAGGUGCAGGUUUCAAAAGUAAAGUGUGUAUGGAAUCCUACAUCAUAUUGAAGGAAGAGGAAUAAGUCAAGUUAAGGAGUUAUUAAUGUGUUUGGAGAAAAUUAUUUAAAAAUUAAAAUAACUUUAUCCAGGUCCUCAAAGUUGGGUAUAGACAAAAUAUAUAUUGUCACAAUAGAUUCACUGGAACAUUUUGCUGGGUCAUGUUUUUUCUUUCUCCUUCCUACAAGUGUGUAAAUAACCAGUUAUUUGAGCAAUUUAAAAAGAUUACUACUUUUGAAGAUUUCUGGAUAUGCUUACCACAUCCAGCCUGCACAAGAACUGUCUGGUUAGAGAUGCUGUCAUUUGUAUAAACCUCAAAAAGGUCUUCCAAGUCACCAUGGAAGCCACCAAGAAGACUCGGGUAAUUAUUGCCAUCUCCUGUGUCAUGCAAACUCUGCAGCACAUUUGAAACUGUAAAAGCAAUACCUCACUUUCACAAUGAAGCAGCAACAACAACAAAACAAAACAAAACAAAAAAACCCAACCAUUUGGGAGCUUUUAAUAACAGAUGUUUCCCAGGAUCAGAAGACUAAAGAGUUAAAUAGAGAGACUAAAUAGAUGUGAAUUCCAUAAAAAUAUUAACCAAGAAUAGCUUAAGAUUAAUGUUUCUCAAAAGGUUCAGAGGUUUCACUUAGUUCAGAUGAUAACUCUUAAUAACUUGGUUAUUUAUCUACAGCUACCUUUUAAGAGCGGAAUGUUUCAUCUAAUGCUAUUGGUAUUGAUGUCAGUGAGAGAUCAUUCACUGAUUUUCUGUACAAAAACUUCUUGUGUGCCAAUACUGUGCCUUACUUCAGCAUUUGCAAAAGAGACAUACACAGCAAAUGUCAUAGUCAAUACUCACAACUCUGACUAAAUUGUGACAAAUUUUGAAAAGAAGUAAAACCAACACAUAGUAUCUGAGAUUACCAACAAAUGUGGAUUAUUUUAUUUAACAGGGCCCAAUAAAGAUCACCAGUCUUUUGAAACAGUAGUUGCUUAAUAUUUUGACAAGGCUUUAUGUAAUCAGAAGCCCAAGAAGUAGCCAUAAACUGCACAUAUGAUAUCUCAAAAUUAUCUGUAUAAGCACAAGAACACUUAUGUUUUAGAAGAGAUGGCAAAAAUGAAUGAAGUGAGGUAGCAAAUGCUUUUUUCUGUGUAGUGGAAGAAUCAUCUGAGGCCUCAUUUUAUUUCUCUUGGAUCGAGCAGUUCAAUAUUUCAAAAAAAGGUCAUUCAAAGGCUCCAGUGUCCCAAAGACCUCACUCAUUUGCUUACUGGUAAAUUUUCUGAAACAUUUUAAAAGGUUUUAAAAAAAUUAUUCUCAGGAUGACAAAAAAGAAAUAAAAUCUUAUCAUUCUACUGUCAUUAAAAAAAACCAAAACCACAGAUAAAUGCAUAAAUGAAAUGCAAAAUCCCAGUAGUUCUGUGAAUGCAUUUCUGUUUUCUUUCUACAGCCUAGUUCAAUUCUCCAAAAUAAUAGCGUACACUGCUGACACUCCCAUCACUGCAUUGCUGUAUCAGUGGUAUGAUAGUGAUGACAACAUUUUUGGUUACAUCAAAGAGGAAUCUGUCCCACUUCAAAUUGUUUUAAUCCUACUCCCAUUGAAUUCUCACUUUUCUUGUCUUCAGUAACAGCAAGAUCAGGAAGUGUGUCUUUUUUAACAGAGACAUAUAAAAAAUAGUCCCAAACUCUAGCCAUUAGAGAGUCUCGUUUACAUGGUAGAGAAAGACUGUAUUGCUCAAACACCUUUUUUUUCAUUUGUUUGACUUUUUUUUUUUAAUUCACUUGCAGUAGAGGAGCAAGCUACAUAAAUGGCAUUCACGAGAAAAACAUCAGAAAGAGCUGAGAAGGCACUACCUAUCUUCUUUUAUUUCUGAGAUGUUUUCUUUUAAAAUAAAAUAAAAGUAAAAUGCCCA